rnacentral:tRNA from 1 species
GGCCUAAUAGCUCAACUGAUUGCCCACUGCACUGCCAUUACAGAGGCCAGGGUUCAAACCCUUGUUCAGGCCA